rnacentral:rRNA from 1 species
AAGUCGUAACAAGGUUUCCGUAGGUGAACCUGCGGAAGGAUCAUCAUCGAAUUCAUAUCCCCCUCCUCAACCGGAGGGGGACCCAUGAUAAACCCUUCUGUGCACCGUAAACCGUUCACUUUGGCAGGCUUUGGUGGUGAGCGUGAGCUCGCCUCCAACCUCGCGUUCCCUCCCUAGGGGUGUUACGCGUGGCGGCCUGCCGGAGUCCCAUUAAAAAACUCGUUUUCGAACACGUCUGAAAAUUUCCUUUGAGAAAUCAAAGAACCGAAAACAACUUUCAACAACGGAUCUCUUGGCUCUCGCAUCGAUGAAGAACGCAGCGAGAUGCGAUAAGUAUUGUGAAUUGCAGAAUUCAGUGAAUCAUCGAAUCUUUGAACGCACAUUGCACUCCCUGGUAUUCCGGGGAGUACGUUCGUUCGAGCGUCAUGUAAAUUCUCGGAUGUCCGUAUCGCGCGGUUCAUUCCGGCCUUGGGCGCCUCCCGGUCCGCCGACUCCGGUGGGUCAGGUCGCCUGAAAUUAAAAAGCGACGGUUCGCGAAUCCGCGACCGGCCACGGCGUAUUACGUUGGGCCUGCCCGACAAACCUUCGCCUACGUUGCCAACGCAGCUCCGACGUCGCUAUCGCAGAAACGUUUGUUGUGACCUCCCUCUCCAGGGUUGACAUGACACACACUUCACUUGACCUCGAAUCGAAUGAGACUACCGGCCGAACUUAA